rnacentral:rRNA from 1 species
GAUGAACGCUGGCGGCGUGCCUAAUACAUGCAAGUCGAGCGAACAGAUGAGGAGCUUGCUCCUCUGACGUUAGCGGCGGACGGGUGAGUAACACGUGGAUAACCUACCUAUAAGACUGGGAUAACUUCGGGAAACCGGAGCUAAUACCGGAUAAUAUAUUGAACCGCAUGGUUCAAUAGUGAAAGACGGUUUUGCUGUCACUUAUAGAUGGUUCCGCGCCGCAUUAGCUAGUUGGUAAGGUAACGGCUUAUCAAGGCAACGAUGCGUAGCCGACCUGAGAGGGUGAGCGGCCGCAAUGGAACUGGAACACAGUCCAGAGUCCUACGGGAGGCAGAAGUAGGGAAUCGUGCGCAAUAGGCGAAAGCAUGACGGAACAGCGCCGCGUGAGUGAUGAAGGUCUUCGGAUCGUAAAACUCUGUUAUUAGGGAAGAACAAAUGUGUAAGUAACUAUGCACGUAUUGACGGUACCUAAUCAGAAAGCCACGGCUAACUACGUG